AACGCAUCUUGCACUAUUCGGCUUCCCCGGAUAGUAUGCCUGGUUGAGUGUCUAUGUAUCUCUCCUAUUCCAAUUGUUUUUCUUUUGAUGACGAUUGGUGUUAUAUAGGGAAUUGGGGUCUUUAUCGUCGAGUCUAUCAAAUGCCUCGGGGAACCCUUGAAAUAUAGUAAGCUCCUAUCUGUAUUGGAAAUACGUAAUCUGGAGAUGGCGUCGUAGCUAAAUCUUAACUGAUUGGUCGAAGCGCCUACAACAUACUCCUAACCACGGUGUUAAUCCUUUUGAUUGGGUGAAGCUUAGCGACUGAGCAAAGCGCUCUUUUUCUUAAUCAUUUAAGAGAAAACCGAACAAUAAUGACCUCAACUCAGGUAGGACGACCCGCUGGACUUAA
rnacentral:misc_RNA from 1 species